rnacentral:rRNA from 1 species
UACGUAGGGGGCGAGCGUUGUCCGGAAUCAUUGGGCGUAAAGCGCGUGUAGGCGGCUCGUUAAGUCCGGUGUGAAACCUUGGGGCUCAACCCCAAGCCUGCACUGGAUACUGACGAGCUCGAGUCCGGGAGGGGAGAGCGGAAUUCCUAGUGUAGCGGUGAAAUGCGCAGAUAUUAGGAAGAACACCGGUGGCGAAGGCGGCUCUCUGGAACGGUACUGACGCUGAGACGCGAAAGCGUGGGGAGCGAAGAGG